AAGAAGUAAAGUCGUACAAGUCUCCGUUGGUGAACCAGCGGAGGGAUCAUU
rnacentral:rRNA from 1 species